rnacentral:misc_RNA from 1 species
GAUGAAGAACGCAGCGAAAUGCGAUACUUGGUGUGAAUUGCAGAAUCCCGUGAACCAUCGAGUCUUUGAACGCAAGUUGCGCCUCAAGCCAUUAGGUUGAGGGCACGUCUGCCUGGGCGUCACAUAUCGUUGCCUGAUGCCAGUUUCCUCGUGAUGAGUGACUGUGCAGGGCGAAUGAUGGCUUCCCGUGAGCAUUGUUGCCUCAUGGUUGGUUGAAAAUUGAGUCCUUGGUAGGGAGCGCCGUGAUAGAUGGUGGUUGAGUGACGAACGAGACCCAAUCAUGUGAGACCCCUACCGAAUUUGGCCUUCAUGACCCACAUGCGUCUUUGGAACGCUCAUGACGAGACCUCAGGUCAGGCGGGGCUACCCGCUGAGUUUAAGCAUAUCAAUAAGCGGAGGA